GACGAACGCUGGCGGCGUGCCUAAUACAUGCAAGUCGAACGAGAGCGACCGGUGCUUGCACUGGUCAAUCUAGUGGCGAACGGGUGAGUAACACGUGGGUAACCUGCCCAUCAGAGGGGGAUAACAUUCGGAAACGGAUGCUAAAACCGCAUAGGUUCUACAGUCGCAUGACUGAAGAAGGAAAAGAGGCUUCGGCUUCCGCUGAUGGAUGGACCCGCGGUGCAUUAGCUAGUUGGUGAGGUAACGGCUCACCAAGGCCGUGAUGCAUAGCCGACCUGAGAGGGUGAUCGGCCACAUUGGGACUGAGACACGGCCCAAACUCCUACGGGAGGCAGCAGUAGGGAAUCUUCCGCAAUGGACGCAAGUCUGACGGAGCAACGCCGCGUGAGUGAAGAAGGAUUUCGGUUCGUAAAACUCUGUUGUUAGAGAAGAACAGCGCAUAGAGUAACUGUUAUGCGUGUGACGGAUCUAACCAGAAAGCC
rnacentral:rRNA from 1 species